UGGGGAAUAUUGCACAAUGGGCGCAAGCCUGAUGCAGCCAUGCCGCGUGUAUGAAGAAGGCCUUCGGGUUGUAAAGUACUUUCAGCGGGGAGGAAGGGAGUAAAGUUAAUACCUUUGCUCAUUGACGUUACCCGCAGAAGAAGCACCGGCUAACUCCGUGCCAGCAGCCGCGGUAAUACGGAGGGUGCAAGCGUUAAUCGGAAUUACUGGGCGUAAAGCGCACGCAGGCGGUUUGUUAAGUCAGAUGUGAAAUCCCCGGGCUCAACCUGGGAACUGCAUCUGAUACUGGCAAGCUUGAGUCUCGUAGAGGGGGGUAGAAUCCCAGGUGUAGCGGUGAAAUGCGUAGAGAUCUGGAGGAAUACCGGUGGCGAAGGCGGCCCCCUGGACGAAGACUGACGCUCAGGUGCGAAAGCGUGGGGAGCAAACAGG
rnacentral:rRNA from 1 species